GAUUAACGCUGGCGGCGUGCCUAACACAUGCAAGUCGAGCGGCAGCGCGUUUUACACUGAAUUCUGGAGGCUUCGAGGUGAAAGAGAAGAUUUAUUCAAGAAUUGUGUGUAAAAUGUCGGCGAGCGGCGGACGGCUGAGUAACGCGUGGGAACGUACCCCAAAGUGAGGGAUUCCUCAUCGAAAGGUGUGCUAAUACCGCAUAUGGUCUUCGGAUUAAAGCCUUCGGGAGCUUUGGGCACGGCCGGCGUACGAUUAGAGAGUUGGUGGGGUAAUCGCCUACCAAGGCGAGGAUCGUCAAACGGUAAGUGAGGAUGAGCAGACAGACUGGAGCUGAGACACGGUCCAGACUCCUACGGGAGGCAGCAGUGAGGAAUCUUCCACAAUGGGCGAAAGCCUGAUGGAGCAACGCCGCGUGCAGGAUGAAGGCCUUCGGGUUGUAAACUGCUUUUAUAAGUGAGGAUUAUGACAGUAACUUAUGAAUAAGGAUCGGCUAACUACGUG
rnacentral:rRNA from 1 species